GGGAGGUAGUGACAAUAAAUAACAAUACGGGGCUCAUUUGGGUCUCGUAAUUGGAAUGAGUACAAUUUAAAUCUCUUAACGAGGAACAAUUGGAGGGCAAGUCUGGUGCCAGCAGCCGCGGUAAUUCCAGCUCCAAUAGCGUAUAUUAAAGUUGUUGCAGUUAAAAAGCUCGUAGUUGAACUUCGGGGUCUACCCAUUGGUCAGGCUUAAUUGUCUGCACUGGUGAGAUGGAUCUCUACCUUCUGAGGAACUUUCAUGCCAUUUAUUUGGUGUGGUUGGAAAUCAGGACUGUUACUUUGAAAAAAUUAGAGUGUUUAAAGCAGACUAUCGUCUGAAUACAUUAGCAUGGAAUAAUGAAAUAGGACGGACUGAUUCUAUUUCGUUGGUUUCUAGGAUCACCGUAAUGAUUAAUAGGGAUAGUUGGG
rnacentral:rRNA from 1 species